CCCUUAGAUGUUCUGGGCCGCACGCGCGCUACACUGACGAAUGCAACGAGCUUAUAACCUUGGCCGAAAGGUCUGGGUAAUCUCCAAAUUUCGUCGUGAUGGGGAUAGAUUAUUGCAAUUAUUAAUCUUCAACGAGGAAUGCCUAGUAAGCGCAAGUCAUCAGCUUGCGUUGAUUACGUCCCUGCCCUUUGUACACACCGCCCGUCGCUCCUACCGAUUGAAUGGUCCGGUGAAAAUUUCGGAUAGUGACGAUGCUGGCGGUUCGCCGCCGGCGCUGUCGCUAGAAGAUCUUUAAACCUUAUCAUUUAGAGGAAGGAGAAGUCGUAACA
rnacentral:rRNA from 1 species